rnacentral:rRNA from 1 species
GACGAACGCUGGCGGCGUGCUUAACACAUGCAAGUCGAGCGGAAAGGCCACUUCGGUGGUACUCGAGCGGCGAACGGGUGAGUAACACGUGAGUAAUCUGCCCUUGGCUUUGGGAUAGCCACCGGAAACGGUGAUUAAUACCGGAUAUGACCACUUCUCGCAUGGGAUGGUGGUGGAAAGUUCUUCGGCCAGGGAUGUGC